rnacentral:sRNA from 1 species
UUUGAUGAGAAAUUUCUAGAAUCUACAGAAGAAUUGGACAAGUUAAGAAAUGGAUUGAUAUGUAUAUAGAAGGUAUGGCAGAUUUGAAUGAAAUGAUCCUUCUUCUGCCCAUAUGUCAACCUGAGGAAAAAGAUGUCAAACUUGCCUUGAUCAAAGAGAGAAUGAAAAAUUGCUAUUUCCCUACCUUUGAGAAA